rnacentral:lncRNA from 1 species
AAGAGGAUAAAAGAGAGGAUAGAAAAUUCAGUGGUGGAUCGAUGGAAGUAUGCUCUGCACUGGAGGUUAGAAUCCAAGUGUGCAGAAAACACUUUGACGCCUGAGUUAUAGUAAUGCAUACCUUAUGAAGUCAUGAAAUGUGGUUAUUAUAGGCAAUGAAGGUGAUAUGAGCCAAUGGAUUAUAUGUGGAAUUCGGUUUGGUCUAGUCCAAAAAGUCCAUAACAAUCAGUUUGGUAAAUAUAAUGAAAUGAAUGUUUAACACUCCCUGAAGUUAUUUUACACGUGUAAAGUUAUCAUGU